AAGCAACCAGAACCUGAUCUCUGAAGUGGUGCAGCGUGUGUGUUAAUGCCAGAAAAUAAAAAAGGAGAAGGGUCUGAAGCUUACUCUGCUAACAUGUGAUACUUCCUGCAGAGCACUGCCUCCACCCAACACGUGUUUUUAAACAAAAUUCAUGGUAGGUUCAAUGGUCACAAUUAUUCACUUGUGUUAUGGCUUGUGUGAGUCCAUUUCUUGCAGCAGAUUGUUGAAAGGUGAGGACCUCGUUCCAUCCUCUUUUCCAGGUUAAUGCCUGAAAAUGUAAGGAAUACAAUUUGUCAUUUGCACCUUCUUCUCCUCCUGACUGGACAAUCCCGCUGCUUCUUUCGACCCAUCAGCUCACCCCUCCCCUGGACACCUGUAAGUGAAGAAUGUUUGGGGAUGACAGAGCACUGAAAUGUGGAAAAAGAAAUAUCAGGAGGCUGAGAAGUGAACUGUGGUUCACAGGCAUCACCAUUUCCGGGAAAAUGGAAAAAGAAGAAUGAACACUUGCAAAACUUUGGUGAGUUAAACAUUUCAUAAGCACAACCUCAGGGUCAUGUUAAUGCAAUCAUUUACACGGGAAUAUUAAUUCUUCAAGCUUUUGUGGCUUCAG
rnacentral:lncRNA from 1 species